UUUAUUCCUGACCUUUAAGACUUCAUUGAAGUCUCGUCCUACAGACCAGUUGGUUGUGAGGUUUUUUGAUAUUGUGAUUAGGUUCUCCCAUAGGAGUUUCUUAUUAGCUAAAGUAUUACUAGCGUAGAUAGCAGAGAAGAGCCAUGGAGGGUGGUUGGGACUUACCUUUACCAUUGCAUGUAUCCUUGGGGGGUGUGACCACCUCUUCAAAUGCCACAAACUCUUAUUUCCACAUGAACAUUAUCCCCCCGAGAUCCCUACUACCGGAGAUGUGAUAAUUAUAUUAAAUUGGAGCUCUUGAGUCAAUUUCUGGUGGUCUGCCAUUUUAGUUUCAAGCAGAACAAGUAUGGUUGGCUUGUGCAUUUUUACCAUUUCUAAACACUGCCUCUUGAAUUUGCCAGUAUUUCCCCCCUAACAUUCCAUAUAAUAUAAUUCAUUAGUGGAGUUGGGGGUGGUUGGUGAGGUCCCUCUUGAGGGUUCCUUGGUGCUUGCGAACACUUCGUUAGAGAUGAGGGGGAUUUCCUCUUGACACUCAGCACUAGGGUUAGAUUCAGUAAGGGCUUGAUAGGUUCAUGGGUUUGUAUGGAGAUCAGACUCAUUCCACACUUGACCAUCGCUCUGGGACAGAGAACAAAUAUCACCUCAUUAGAUUCUGUGCUGAACUCUAUCACUCUCACUGAGUCCAGUAGGAGCGAGUUUAUUCGUGGAGUGGCAUAGGUUGCUCCCUCUUUCUCUGGGGCAUUUUUCUUCUUGAGGAUUUCCAAAGCUUUGGAGAUUACUUUUUUGAUGUUGUGGAGAGGGGGUUGAAAUGCUCUUCUAUCUUGGAGCAGAAGAAGAUGGCUCGUGUUGAGUCUGAUUGUCGAUCGUUAUGAAGCCCAGCUCCAUCGAUGGAUCAUCCUUCGUCAGAUUUGGGAAGAAUAGUAGCAUUUGGAAGCUCUGCAGUAUGUGGUUGCUGAGUGUUUGGGGGUGGGUUAACGGUGAUUUGCUGUCUCUGUUGACCAUCGACUGCCAUAGGAGAGGCCGAAAGGCCGCUAGAGCUUUGCUCAAUGCUUCCACUAUGACUCUAGCUAGGUGAGCUGGAUUUUGCACAAUCAGGGCUACCUUCUAAUUGUCUAGGGUGAAAUUGUAAGAGAGGCCCUGACCCUGAAGAGAAACAUCCAACCAAGAAGUCAGUUGGUGGUCCGGUGGUAGCAGUAGGGAGGUGAUGAUAGUUGUUGCCAUUUCGUUUUCCAUUUUUUUGUUUUUUCGCAUUACUACUUUGGGUAACAAAAGGGAUGAUCUUAAGAGACUGGCUUUCCAUCAGUACUUCCUUUAGUGUCAAAUUAUCGGUCAAUGGAAGGGCUACUAGAAAUCGGAACUAGGGGUGGAUUUAUCAUUAAUUGGGGAUCUAAUGGAAUUGACUACUUAAGUCUUUUCAUCUGGAGAUAGGGAAGAGGGAUACCAGAUAGGAUACUUGAUUGUUGGCAGCGUCUGUUGGUAUUUCCCCAUUAGAGAUUCUUUCAGAAGGAUUGGUAGGGAAAGCGUAUGUCAGUGUAUUUGGAUAGAAAGAUGGGCUGACAAUUGGGGAUUGGGAGUGGUACCCAUUUAGAGAAAAGACCGGCCCCAUUGAGGAAGUUGGAUCCAUAUGGCAGUAGAAGUAAGGAUGGCUUCUUGAGGAACGAAUUUAGGUUCCCAUUUCUGCAUGUACAAGAAAUUUCCAAAGAUGAACCAAGGGCCAAGGUAGAGAGCCUUAACCAUACUCUCUUGUGAACUAGAUUUGACUAUGUAGAAGUCUCAUCCUAGGUCAAUCAAGAUUAAUUGUUCGUAUGACUUCCAUAGUUCAAUUAGUUUAGACCAAAGGAAAUGUUGAGGCAUCUUUCAGUUGAAGACCUUCAUGAUCACGGAAUAACACCAUGGAAGGUAGAGGCAUUUUUUGUCGUCUUGAGAAAAGGGGAUUGAGCCUUCUAUGUGUUUUCCUUUAUCAAAAUAUGAAUUUGGAUGAGAGUCAACUUCAUAGUAAUCUGUUUGAUGCCUCUCCGGUUUAUCCAAGAGCAUUUUCUUAUAGGAGUGGGUUGGUAAUUUUACAUCCAUUUGGUUGUGAUUAUUCUGAGGUUCUGGUGGGAUAGGUGGUUUGAUUAAUGGGGAAUCCAUGUUUGGAAGGUACUGUUUCAGGAGUUGUUUUUAGAGAGAGUUUGAAGUGGAAGUC
rnacentral:lncRNA from 1 species